UCACAGUGAACCGGUCUCUUU
rnacentral:miRNA from 55 species